UUGAAUGCAUAUUUAAUAAGCAUAGCAUUUUAACUAGAUAGAGGCAAGAGAGAAAAAAAAAUAAAUCAAAUUUCUAAAGUCAAAAUCAAAUGAAAGAGCUAGGAAUGCCUAUUCCAAAAAAACUUAAAUUUGAACACAUUUUUCUGAAAAAACAGAGCUAAACAAUCAAAAUUUGAGGUUAAAGCAGACUGAUCAAAUUCAGUGAGUACAUAGUGAAACCAAAAGCAAGAGAGAGCAAGUGCGGGAAUAAGACUGGACAGUUUUUUUUAGAAAACUAUUUUUCUUAUCAGUUAGAGGAGAUUAAUAUUAAGAGAAGAGCCAAAUGCUAAAUUUCAAGGGGAAAAAAAAGGAUUUUCUAAAUGUAGAGAUACUCUUGGAAAGCUGAAAUUCAUAUGGUUCACAACUUUAAUAUUCUUGCUCUUCCUCAUAUCCUCAUCGCCAAGGCUCAUGAUCUCCUUUCUCGUCAACAAAAAUACAUAGAUGUUAUCUUGAAAUUUCAGUUGGUUUGCCUGUUCUCCUUUCUCUGUAAGUUUGAUACGACCUUCAAUUGUACUGAGUUAAUAUACUUUUCUUUGCUGUUAAUUCUUCCUGUGUUUAUUGUUCUUGGAUUCUGUUCAAGGGUUCACCUGGCAUAGAUAAAUCGGUAAUCAAGUAAAAAAAUCCAACAAUUCUACUAUGAUACAAGAUCUAUAGGACCAAGCUCAGCAAACAAGCAAGGAAAAAGAUGAAUCGUAGCCCUCCUGACAUGAGGGCAUAACUACAUUCCACAAUGAACCCUGUCGUCCAUUCGACUCAAUACUUUCCCUGGCUCAUCUCUAAGUGUAAUUACGUCCUUUUGUUAGCCAAAGGAUGAAAUAAGACGAAAUUCUUAAUCCUUAAGAGUGGAGAAUUAACUAGAUUACUUGAAAUGGUGGAAAGAAUGUACAUGCUGAUCUGGAAAGUUUUACAGAUAUUGCAUUGCAGCUUUCAUUGGAUUCAACCUUAACAUUGCAUCACUAAAUUCGUUUUAGCAAAAUAACUUUUGAAUGAGCCCUGCUGUCUACAAAAUUUUAGAUCAUUUACCAGGUUUUUUUAUUUCCGCAAAGUGUUCUUGGAGGUUGCAGAGCGCCUGUUGACAGUUGCAACCUUGUUAUGUCACAUCUUUUUAAACGUGUUUUUGUCUUGUUUAUUUCUACUGAAUUUGGUCCAAUAUAAAAAAAAGAAUGAAACUUCUAGUAAAAUUAAAAUGAUUAAAGCAACCAAAAAAACCACAAGGCCUUAAAAAAUGCUAUUAGGUGGGUGAGAUCCAAGCAAUAAGCUAUCAAGUAUCUGCUUACCUCAUGGGUUCACGCUGGUGCCACUAUGAUCCAAGUUCAAGCAGAAUCGUUCACAAUUUAAAAACACUCCGGAAUAUAAUUUAAUUCAAAAACACAUUUGAAGCAAAACACAAAUAAAAAGAUCCGAUUUAAAACACGAGCCUGCUCAGCUUCUUGAUUUUUUUACUUGAACUUCGUGUUUCGAAAAUUCCACUUCUCGAGAUACAAAUCAUAGAAAAAGGCAUUCCAGGAUUGUUUACGCUCUCCUGGAUGGCAUUGGCUGAAAAUGCUAAGUUGACACGUUACUCACGAAAUUUCCUACGUCGACAAAAAUUCCCAGACUUUCCAGGAUUCCCAGACCCUGGCGACCCUUAUUAGAUCUACUUGGGUAGCUAAUGGAAGUCGUGAUCGGGAAGUUACUACAUCUCUACAUGGACAUUCUUUGUUUCAUCAUUGCAUAUUUCAUAGACAUCCAUGCAUUUCAGGAAAAAAUGUGGCUGAAAUUUUAUGUAAGUAACAAGAUCAUCGAAAUAUUGGAAAUUUUCUGCACAAGAUUAAGGGAAAAAGUAUCUUAUUUGGACAUAUUGAACUCAAGUAUUGCAGUUUGUUUUUAUACUGUUUUUGUUGUAGUUGUUACUACUGCUGUUGUUGUUAGUGAUGUUGUUGUUGGUGGUGGUGAUGUUGUUGUUGUUGUUCAUGUUGACUUAUAAUUUUUAAGCAUGCCAGUAGGGUUCGCUUUUUGAAAUCACUCGGUUCUACCAUAGUACAGCACAACGAUCAAUCCAUGCUAUUUAACGGGCCGUCCAAAGAUUUUUUUACUUGCACCCGGUUUUUUGGCAUCUUGCGCUUUAAGUGCAAUCUGCGAUGAACCUUGUGACUCAUUAGACCAUGUGCUAACCGUGGCCCGUGCAGAAAUCCACUUAAACCACUGCAGUUAUCUCCCGAUAUUGCUUUGGGUGCUCCGUUUCAACCACGAGAACAAAAGGCCGACCAUCUAUCUUCUUUCACUUUCUCCAUCUUUCACGCCCGAUUAACCAUUCACCGUGACGCCAAAUCCACCAAAUUUUCACAAAAAUAGUUUUCUAUCUAUUUAGCAAGUGUUUCCUUACCCUCCGUUAAAAUACAAAUAAAAAGAGACCUCAUUUGUAAAAAUUUGCCAAAUAGAAGAGAAGUUACAGUUUGAAAUCCAAAGCGAUUAACCUAACGCGAUUAACUCAACGUGAUUAACUCAACACAAUUUCUCAACGCAAACAAUGAAAGAAAGGAAAAAAUAAGAAAUGCUAAUUAUAAUUAAUAUCAUUCACCUCAGAAUUUUACAAUCCAUUAAAUUAGGUAACCGAGCAAAAAUUGGGACAAAAUUACAAAAAAUUGGUCUUUUGAAUGGGGCUUCAUUCUAAGAAUUUUGACCUAAAGGCAAGAGUCGGAUAGCAGCGGCACCCCAUAGAAUACACGGUGUACCUGAACAAGUUUAAAUUGUUUUAUCUGCCACGAUCGAAAACUCUGUAGAUUCUUGAACUACAGUGUCUCUUGAGUCAUUUAAGCCAAAAAAAAUUGUGUCAAAAUCCUGGAUAAAAAAGGCGAUUCACAAGUAUUUUGGGGUUAUAAUAGCUAGAUCACCGGUAGUAAAUCCCAUUAUAUUAUUGAUAAGAUAUUAACUCAAUAGUUUAAUGCCUCAGUUUCUUUAAUACGAUUAUUUUAAGCACUUGAGCACCUAUACUACCAAUCUUAGCCAUGUGGUGAUUUCCUGAGAGUCGAUAAUUGAAGGAAUUUCUCAUCAAACCUUCCAAAAAUGACCUGCUUUUUAGGCAGCUGAUUCGGCCAUCAAAUCGAUGAAAAUUAGUUCCCGGACGAAAUUAUGAUGAAAACACACUAAAAUUCCGUCCAAUUAUCAUAAUUUUAAGCUGAUACACGGCAGUUCGCCACAAAUUGCGGUCAUGCGCAAAUGCUGUAUAUCAGCCUUAAACAAGAUAAUUGGACGGAAUCUUUAAAAUCAAUUUAAAUUUAACGUUCAUGAAUCAACAUUUUCUUCCAAAUUUAGCAAAAGGUACAAAUUGAUGCAAAUAGCAAUGACAGAAAUGACAUGAAAAUAGUAGGUAUGUGUCAAACAUUUCAGUUAUUCGGCACGCUUUUCCAACAUAUUCAUCUUGGAUUUUUCUUCUUGUUUAAACUUGGUGUACUAUAAUUUUCAAGGUUUGUGUCACGGUUUGCAAAACCAAACUAUCAAAGAAACUGUGAAUAAAUGAAUAUGCGUCAUGACCACGAA